rnacentral:rRNA from 1 species
GUGCCAGCCGCCGCGGUAAGACGAAGGUGGCGAGCGUUACUCGGAAUUACUAGGCGUAAAGCGUGGGCAGGUGGUUUGGUAAGUCUGUUGUGAAAGCUCCCGGCUUAACCGGGAGAGGCCAAUGGAUACUGCCGAACUUGAAUGUGGGAGAGGUGACUGGAAUUCCCGGUGUAGCGGUGAAAUGCGUAGAGAUCGGGAGGAACACCAAUGGCGAAAGCAGGUCACUGGACCACUAUUGACACUCAUCCACGAAAGCUGGGGGAUCAAACAGGAUUAGAAACCCGGGUAGUCC